UAACCCAGAGCCUAUAAUUUUCAACGAGUGACCAAUUGAAAAUGGCUCUGGGGACGAGAAUGGGACUAGAUAUGUAUACUAUACAACCUUUUGAGGCUGUCAGUGUUAAAUAUUUAUCUCCAUACUCAUAUAUGAACAAAUUACUUUAACGCUAGCUUGUUUGUGCGAUUUCCCUUAGUAACUGAUUGUGAAGGAAAGACACCAGUUCGCUGCUGCGCUCAUUCGCUCGUCACUCGUUCGUUCACAACUCAUAAAUAUAUUCACAUAAUUUCUAAGUAUCUACAUUCAAUUUAAAAGUGCCUAUACCAAACGUUCAUAUGUGAACACUAAUAACACUUUAUAACUCAAUAACAUUUUUGUACAAUUUUUUUAGGCCAAAUCAAAUCAUAUAGUGAGACUCAAGCCCAAAAAGUGAAGCCAGCUUCACGCUAACCGCGCUGACAAAAACUGGAACUGACUUCCAAUAGCUCUUAAGUUUUUGCCAUCUUGGCAAGGAGUGUGGUGAAAUUUUGUAUUUUUACAUCGAUUUAAAGAAUAACGCUAUGGUUUUAUGAACUGAUAACUUGGUUAGCGAUAUUGUCCGUGAGAAAAAAACUGGAAUUAGCUGGGGAAAAUGGUAUAAAAUCUGUUAACGAGCUUCAGAGCUACUGGACGUCAAUGGCCGUCAUAUUGGCUUCAUUUUUCUUAUAGGCCGAAUGACUGAAGUUCUUGCAACAAAUAUAUAUGGAGAUCACUGAAAAUGCAUUAGAUUUGACACAUGAUAAGUUCGUGUCCGUUCAAACUAAAUACAAUACGCACGGCUGUCUGUCGAACUUAUAACAAUAGUGUCAAACUUCAACGCCGCGUUUCUCCUGAGCCAAACACUUCGAAUUAGAUUCGGCUCAUUACAAGCGCGACGUUUGAACUACAAUCCUGGACAAAACCAUCUGCGUCACUCUUA